GACGAACGCUGGCGGCGUGCCUAAUACAUGCAAGUUGAGCGCUGAAGGUUGGUACUUGUACCAACUGGAUGAGCAGCGCACGGGUGAGUAACGCGUGGGGAAUCUGCCUUUGAGCGGGGGACAACAUUUGGAAACGAAUGCUAAUACCGCAUAAAAACUUUAAACACAAGUUUUAAGUUUGAAAGAUGCAAUUGCAUCACUCAAAGAUGAUCCCGCGUUGUAUUAGCUAGUUGGUGAGGUAAAGGCUCACCAAGGCGAUGAUACAUAGCCGACCUGAGAGGGUGAGCGGCCACAUUGGGACGGAGACCCGGCCCAAACGCCUACGGGAGGCAGCAGUAGGGAAUCUUCGGCAAGGGACGGAAGUCUGACCGAGCAACGCCGCGUGAGGGAAGAAGGUUUUCGGGUCGUAAAACUCUGUUGGUAGAGAAGAACGUGGGUGAGAGUGGAAAGCUCAUCAAGUGACGGUAACUACCCAGAAAGGGACGGCUAACUACGUG
rnacentral:rRNA from 1 species